rnacentral:lncRNA from 1 species
CCUGUCCCCACUUCAAGGCCUGGCAGCCGCCUCUGGAGCAACUGGGGUAUCACCAUGGCAACCAGGCCAGGCCAGUGUGUGGGUGGGGCUGCUUUAAAGACUUAUUGCCCCAAAACCCAGGCGUGAUUCUUUCAUUUUGCUUCUUCUGCAGGUGGGACUCUUCCGGAAUCCACACAAGAUUCCCCACGCAGGAUCCACACAGGGAGCCACACAGCCAAAAGCAGCUCAGGUCUUCCAUCACAGGGGCCUUGGUUGGGUCAGAGGAACAGAGAGAAGCUUUUCCUGGCUUCCCUACUUCCAAAUCCCGAAGAUCGGCUCUGAUUGGCUUAGCGGGCACCAUCUAAGGAAACUGAUGCGCAGAGACGAAGUAACUUGCCCAAGUCUACACGGCCAGUAAACAGCAAGCAAUGGGAUUUGAUCCGAGGCAGUCUGGCUCAAACACGUGCCCUCGCAAAAGCCACCAUCUUGAAUAUAUUUAUGUUUAGAUAUGUCCGUUUUUGUCAAAAAGUAUAAUAAGAAGUAACGUUUUAUUAUCAAGGCUCAGUCAUAGAGGUGUUUUCAACACUCAAGGUUGCUCGUUUUUGUUUUUCUAAGAUAAAGUAGUUGUGCUAAUAACAUGAAGGC